GUGCUCUCUUUGGCAGCACAUAUACUAAAAUUGGAACGAUACAGAGAAGAUUAGCAUGGCCCCUGCUCAAGGAUGACACGCAAAUUUGUAAAGCAUUCCAUAUUUUU
rnacentral:snRNA from 1 species